rnacentral:rRNA from 1 species
UACGGAGGGGGCUAGCGUUGUUCGGAAUUACUGGGCGUAAAGCGCGCGUAGGCGGCUUUGUAAGUUAGAGGUGAAAGCCCGGAGCUCAACUCCGGAAUUGCCUUUAAGACUGCAUCGCUAGAAUCAUGGAGAGGUGAGUGGAAUUCCGAGUGUAGAGGUGAAAAUUCGUAGAUAUUCGGAAGAACACCGGUGGCGAAGGCGGCAUCUUGGACCGGCAUUGACGCUGAGGAGCGAAAAGCGUGGGGGAGCGAACAGG